rnacentral:lncRNA from 1 species
GCGUGCUUGGCGUUAAGCUCGGGUUUCUUCUCGCUCCUAAGGAAACAUUAUGGAAUUAAUAAUGCACGACUCUGAGACCACCAAGCACAAAGUACAUGAUGCUGCUGACCACAAAACCAAAGGGGAAAAAAGUACUGAGCGUUGGAGUGGCAUAAAGGAGGUUUGGGAUUUACGACUCAAGAGAUCAUAAAAGUACUAUAUAAGCCUGAGCUGCUGGGAUGAUUGGCACAGAAGGGUCAGACAGCAAAGGUAUGUGCACUUUUUAAUAUACUACUUAAAUGCAUGAGGAUUAUGCAUGGUUAUUU